CACGUAGGGGGCGAGCGUUGUCCGGAUUUAUUGGGCGUAAAGAGCUCGUAGGCGGCUUGGUAAGUCAGGUGUGAAAACUCCGAGCUCAACUCGGAGACGCCAUCUGAUACUGCCAUGGCUAGAGUCCGGUAGGGGAGCGCGGAAUUCCUGGUGUAGCGGUGAAAUGCACAGAUAUCAGGAGGAACACCGAUGGCGAAGGCAGCGCUCUGGGCCGGUACUGACGCUGAGGAGCGAAAGCGUGGGUAGCAAACAGG
rnacentral:rRNA from 1 species